rnacentral:misc_RNA from 1 species
AACGCACAUUGCGCCCGCUAGUAUUCUAGCGGGCAUGCCUGUUCGAGCGUCAUUUCAACCCUCAAGCCUGGCUUGGUGUUGGGGCCCCCACGGCCGCCGUGGGCCCCGAAAGGGAGUGGCGGGCCCGCCGCAGCUCCGAGCGUAGUAGAUACCUAUCUCGCUAGGGAGACGCGGCGGGCCCCGGCCGUUAAACCGCCCCGCAAGGGACUCACACAAGGUUGACCUCGGAUCAGGUAGGAAUACCCGCUGAACUUAA